UGAAUUUUACGUAGUACUGUCCGCCAAAG
rnacentral:piRNA from 1 species